GGCUUGGUAGCACUUGGAGUGCAUCUGCUUAUCAUUGGGGACUGGUUUGUAAUUUGAUUAGCAGAAGGAAGCCUGUUAGACUCAGGCCCAAGCCA